GUUCAUUAGAGGAAUUACAAGGAGCAGCAGAUGAGGCUGAAGAUUUUCUAAGCUUGGCUGGCUAAAUCACCAACAUUAAUUCUGUUGAUAAGAAGAAUCAAUUAGUUUCAAGUGCUGUGAGGUUCUAUGUUUUAGACAGAACUAGAUCAGCCUUUGAAAGAUUACUUUCUGGGCUUGAAACUUUAGGUGUCCUGAACACUAUAAAAGAAAACCCUGUUGCCUGUAGAAAGGCUUUCAUUCACAGUGAGGAAUCAGAGUUGACAUCAGAAAGAUUAAAGACAAUAUUCCAUGUGGACUUCAUUGAGAAGGGCAGUAAUAAAAGAAGCACUGAAGAAGUUGUGCUGUCACAGUUUUUUGAUUAUCUUAUAGAUGUUGAAGAGGGAGAAACGAAAUGCACAUUACGUGAUAUUUUGGUAUUUACGAGUGGAGCAUCGAGUAUACCAAUUACCAGUUUCACUGAGAUGCCAGAAAUUACAUUCCUGCACAGUGCUGACAAUUAUCCAACAGCCAACACAUGUUCUAUAGUCCUUAGACUUCCAACAGUUCACAAAGAGUAUGAGGCAUUCAAAGAAGCAAUGGAUUUUGCUAUAUUAAAUUCGCAGUCUUUCGGUACAUCAUAGGCAAUAAUCACUCCACAGGGCCACCAACAGUAAUAGCACAUUAUGAUCAAACCGUGCAGUCAGCUAUGUUCGUAUUGUAGUUGAAUUAUUGUAUUGUUGUAGUAAUAACUUUUAUAGGCAGCAUAUACAUUUUGUAUACCAUACCAUAAUUACUGUAUUUUAGUUCUGUAGUUUAUUGUUUGUAAUGAUUAUUGGCAUUGGUGAAUGUUAUUGAUUUUUCUUCUUUUAGUAAAUCUAAUAAUUUGUUGAAUCACAUAGAUGUUUAGGAAACUGUAAUACAAAUGUAACUUGGCUCUUAAAUGAAUCUGACUUGCAAACAAUAUAAAUAACCGUGCCAAGAUUUAUACGGAUGGGGAUCGUAUUUCAAUAUUUACUAUGUAUACUUUGAUGAUAAAAACAGUCUACAUGUUGUUGCAAUUGAGGACUUGGUGGGUUUAUUAUUAUUUGCCGUAAAGUUUUGCUCAUAAGUUAAUUUUAAGUACAUACAACAAAAUUGAGAAGUAAAUAUAACUUUCCAACUUUAAGCUUUUCAAAUUGUAUGUUUAUAGUUAUUUACUGUUAAAGAAAGUUUCUUGGACUUAUUCAAGCAUUUACAUUAUUUUAUACAGUAUUAGUUGAAGAUUUAUUGUCACACUAAAUAUUAAGAAAAAAAAAGUAUCAUAAAUGUUAUUAACUUUAGCCAAAAAUCAUUUACCU